rnacentral:rRNA from 1 species
UACGUAGGGUGCGAGCGUUAAUCGGAAUUACUGGGCGUAAAGCGUGCGUAGGCGGUGAUGUAAGACAGUUGUGAAAUCCCCCGGGCUCAACCUGGGAACUGCAUCUGUGACUGCAUCGCUGGAGUGCGGCAGAGGGGGAUGGAAUUCCGCGUGUAGCAGUGAAAUGCGUAGAUAUGCGGAGGAACACCGAUGGCGAAGGCAAUCCCCUGGGCCUGCACUGACGCUCAUGCACGAAAGCGUGGGGAGCAAACAGG